rnacentral:rRNA from 1 species
GACGAACGCUGGCGGCGUGCUUAACACAUGCAAGUCGAACGAAGAGCGAUGGAAGCUUGCUUCUAUCAAUCUUAGUGGCGAACGGGUGAGUAACGCGUAAUCAACCUGCCCUUCAGAGGGGGACAACAGUUGGAAACGACUGCUAAUACCGCAUACGAUCUAACCUCGGCAUCGAGGAUAGAUGAAAGGUGGCCUCUACAUGUAAGCUAUCACUGAAGGAGGGGAUUGCGUCUGAUUAGCUAGUUGGAGGGGUAACGGCCCACCAAGGCGAUGAUCAGUAGCUGGUCUGAGAGGAUGAACGGCCACAUUGGGACUGAGACACGGCCCAGACUCCUACGGGAGGCAGCAGGGGGGAAUCUUCCGCAAUGGACGAAAGUCUGACGGAGCAACGCCGCGUGAGUGAUGACGGCCUUCGGGUUGUAAAGCUCGGUUAAUCGGGACGAAAGGCCUUCUUGCGAAUAGUGAGAAGGAUUGACGGUACCGGAAUAGAAAGCCACGGCUAACUACGUG